rfam:Triticum aestivum genome assembly, contig: Triticum_aestivum_CS42_TGACv1_scaffold_603384_7DL
CAAGUACUCCCUCCGAUCCGAAUUACUUGUCAAAAAAAUGGAUAAAAAUGGAUGUAUCUAUAACUAACAUACAUUUAGAUACAUUCAUUUCUGUGACAAGUAAUUUCGAACGGAGGGAGUACAAG